rnacentral:rRNA from 1 species
GGGGAAUAUUGCGCAAUGGGGGAAACCCUGACGCAGCAAUACCGCGUGGGUGAAGAAGGCCUUCGGGUUGUAAAGCCCUUUUGUUGGGAAAGAAAAGCAGCCGGCCAAUACACGGUUGUUCUGACGGUACCCAAAGAAUAAGCACCGGCUAACCCCGUGCCAGCAGCCGCGGUAAUACGGAGGGUGCGAGCGUUAAUCGGAAUUACUGGGCGUAAAGCGUGCGCAGGCGGUUUGUUAAGCGAGAUGUGAAAGCCCCGGGCUCAACCUGGGAUGGUCAUUUCGAACUGGCAAGCUAGAGUCUCGUAGAGGUGGGUAGAAUUCCAGGUGUAUCGGUGAAAUGCGUAGAGAUCUGGAGGAAUACCGGUGGCGAAGGCGGCCCCCUGGACGAAGACUGACGCUCAGGCACGAAAGCGUGGGGAGCAAACA